rnacentral:miRNA from 1 species
UGGAGAAGCAGGGCACGUGA